CAUAGUUUAGUUUGGGUCUGAGAGACUCUGUGACGGCGGCUGUCUUCCAAUCUACCUGAGAAAGCGAAAUCUAUUCAGAUUUGAAAAGGGAACAUGUCGGUUUCUUUGUCAAACGUCACUGUUUCUCAGAUCCUGCUCGGCUGAGGGAAAGGAACGGGGAGAUGAGGAACUUGCUAAUACUAGCAUAAAAAGAAACAACAGUAAGGGGCGUGAAUAUUUGCAGUUCUUGAUCGCGCAACCUCUAGUACCUAGCAGCGAAGAUAGGAUCACUUUUGAAGGCUAGUAAAUAGAGAAAGAGGUUCUUACACUAUCUGGAUCUUAGAGGCUUUAACCACAUAUACUAUCUCUCUAUAUCUAAUAAUGAGCGACAGAUGGAGAACGACGAGGAGCAACUUAAGAACACAUUCAUGGCCACUUCAAGACCAACCAGCUUAAGUUCGGAUUUUGCUCAUGGACAAUGUGAAAUAAGUUUUCUGGAUUCUGAAAACAAUACUUGUCAUGUUGAUGUAUCACCUACGGCAGAUGAACAACAGAGUUGUGGCCUUUGACUUGGCUCGUGAGGAGUUUCGGCUGCUGCCUAUCCCUCCUUGUGUGCAAGACCGUCAGAACAAAUUUAGAUAUGGUCUUGUAGUACUGGGAAGGCAUUUGUGUUUUUACAUGGAUAAGUUGCGGGUGGAAAUUUGGUCGUUGGUGGAAAGUAGGGACUCGAAUGAGACGACCUGGCGCAUGGAGUUUGAUAUAGAUUACGAAGCCGUAAUAGGUUCUCCUGAAAAGAAUUUUAAGCCGAUUUUACUUACCCAUAAUGGAGAAAUCAUAUUCUUACAUGCCGAAUCUGUGCUAUACAGUUAUGACACAAAAACAACAGUUCUUAAGAUGAUUUCCAAUGAAGCGUCAACUGAUUGUUUCGACGAUAUCGAUGCAAUUGCUCAUGCAAACACCUUUGCAUCUUUAGAAGCUAUCGGAGAAAAUUCCAAGAAAUACACAGUUCGUCCACGUCGGGUUCCUAGUCCAUGGGAUGAUGUUAUUGAUGAGUUAGACCGAGUUGCUCUUGGUGAGGAAGUUGAUACGACGCGUUUCAGACUCAGGUGAUCAGCAUUACAAUAUUACAAUAUCUCCUCUCAUCCGACUGCAUUUCAGACUCAGGUGAUCAGCGUUACAAUAUCUCCUCUCAUCUGACUGUCUUGAUAGUUCGUUUUUAUUUUGUGGUGUUUGAUUGAAUAAAAAUUCCACAUAAAAUUGUUCAGGGUGACUCAUUUUUACUUGCGGGUAGGUUUAUGGUGUUUAGCUCCAA